UGCAAAUGCCGAGAGCUGUUUACAAACCU
rnacentral:piRNA from 1 species